rnacentral:lncRNA from 1 species
AAGAAGAAAGAUAAGCUGAAGGGUAAGAUGAGAGGUGAGACGAAUUUGGUUGAGGGGUCGAGUUAUGACCCCACUGAGGUUUAUUAAGUGUAAACCUAGUUACUGCAUAUGCAUCCGUGUGUGAUCCUUUCUGCAUGUGUGUGAUUGUCUAAAUUUUGUUGCGUGAUUAUUUGCUACAUUUCAAUGUGUUUGAUAUGUGCAUUUGCAUGAAUUUGAGACAUUAGGAUUACUUGGUGUAAUUGCUU